AGAGUUUGAUCCUGGCUCAGGACGAACGCUGGCGGCGUGCCUAAUACAUGCAAGUCGAGCGGACAGAUGGGAGCUUGCUCCCUGAUGUUAGCGGCGGACGGGUGAGUAACACGUGGGUUACCUGCCUGUAAGACUGGGAUAACUCCGGGAAACCGGGGCUAAUACCGAAUGGUUGUUUGAACCGCAUGGUUCAAACAUAAAAGGUGGCUUCGGCUACCACUUACAGAUGGACCCGCGGCGCAUUAGCUAGUUGGUGAGGUAACGGCUCACCAAGGCAACGAUGCGUAGCCGACCUGAGAGGGUGAUCGGCCACACUGGGACUGAGGCACGGCCCAGACUCCUACGGGAGGCAGCAGUAGGGAAUCUUCCGCAAUGGACGAAAGUCUGACGGAGCAACGCCGCGUGAGUGAUGAAGGUUUUCGGAUCGUAAAGCUCUGUUGUUAGGGAAGAACAAGUACCGUUCGAAUAGGGCGGUACCUUGACGGUACCUAACCAGAAAGCCACGGCUAACUACGUGCCAGCAGCCGCGGUAAUACGUAGGUGGCAAGCGUUGUCCGGAAUUAUUGGGCGUAAAGGGCUCGCAGGCGGUUUCUUAAGUCUGAUGUGAAAGCCCCCGGCUCAACCGGGGAGGGUCAUUGGAAACUGGGGAACUUGAGUGCAGAAGAGGAGAGUGGAAUUCCACGUGUAGCGGUGAAAUGCGUAGAGAUGUGGAGGAACACCAGUGGCGAAGGCGACUCUCUGGUCUGUAACUGACGCUGAGGAGCGAAAGCGUGGGGAGCGAACAGGAUUAGAUACCCUGGUAGUCCACGCCGUAAACGAUGAGUGCUAAGUGUUAGGGGGUUUCCGCCCCUUAGUGCUGCAGCUAACGCAUUAAGCACUCCGCCUGGGGAGUACGGUCGCAAGACUGAAACUCAAAGGAAUUGACGGGGGCCCGCACAAGCGGUGGAGCAUGUGGUUUAAUUCGAAGCAACGCGAAGAACCUUACCAGGUCUUGACAUCCUCUGACAAUCCUAGAGAUAGGACGUCCCCUUCGGGGGCAGAGUGACAGGUGGUGCAUGGUUGUCGUCAGCUCGUGUCGUGAGAUGUUGGGUUAAGUCCCGCAACAAGCGCAACCCUUGAUCUUAGUUGCCAGCAUUCAGUUGGGCACUCUAAGGUGACUGCCGGUGACAAACCGGAGGAAGGUGGGGAUGACGUCAAAUCAUCAUGCCCCUUAUGACCUGGGCUACACACGUGCUACAAUGGACAGAACAAAGGGCAGCGAAACCGCGAGGUUAAGCCAAUCCCACAAAUCUGUUCUCAGUUCGGAUCGCAGUCUGCAACUCGACUGCGUGAAGCUGGAAUCGCUAGUAAUCGCGGAUCAGCAUGCCGCGGUGAAUACGUUCCCGGGCCUUGUGCACACCGCCCGUCACACCACGAGAGUUUGUAACACCCGAAGUCGGUGAGGUAACCUUUUAGGAGCCAGCCGCCGAAGGUGGGACAGAUGAUUGGGGUGAAGUCGUAACAAGGUA
rnacentral:rRNA from 1 species